rnacentral:rRNA from 1 species
GAUGAACGCUAGCUACAGGCUUAACACAUGCAAAUCGAGGGGUAGCAGGGUAGCAAUACCGCUGACGACCGGCGCACGGGUGAGUAACACGUAUCCAACCUUCCCAUAACUCGGGGAUAGCCUUUCGAAAGAAAGAUUAAUACCCGAUAGUACUUUUUCAAGGCAUCUUGAGAAAGUUAAAGAUUUAUUGGUUAUGGAUGGGGAUGCGUUCCAUUAGAUAGUUGGUGAGGUAACGGCUCACCAAGUCUUCGAUGGAUAGGGGUUCUGAGAGGAAGGUCCCCCACAUUGGUACUGAGACAUGGACCAAACUCCUACGGGAGGCAGCAGUGAGGAAUAUUGGUCAAUGGGCGAGAGCCUGAACCAGCCAAGUAGCGUGAAGGAUGAAGGUCCUAUGGAUUGUAAACUUCUUUUAUAGUAGAAUAAAGUGAUCCACGUGUGGAUUUUUGUAUGUAUACUAUGAAUAAGGAUCGGCUAACUCCGUGCCAGCCGCCGCCGUAAUAC